UACGUAGGGUGCAAGCGUUGCCCGGAUUUAUUGGGCGUAAAGGGCGCGUAGGCGGCUCUGCACGUCCGUUGUGAAAUCGCCCGGCUCAACUGGGCGGGGUCAGCGGAUACGGCAGAGCUUGAGCAAGCUAGGGGGCAAUGGAAUUCCCGGUGUAGUGGUGGAAUGCGUAGAUAUCGGGAGGAACACCAGUGGCGAAGGCGGUUGCCUGGGGUUGUUCUGACGCUGAGGAGCGAAAGCUAGGGGAGCAAACGGG
rnacentral:rRNA from 1 species